GACGAACGCUGGCGGCGUGCUUAACACAUGCAAGUCGAACGGAAAGGCCCUGCUUUUGUGGGGUGCUCGAGUGGCGAACGGGUGAGUAACACGUGAGUAACCUGCCCUUGACUUUGGGAUAACUUCAGGAAACUGGGGCUAAUACCGGAUAGGAGCUCCUGCUGCAUGGUGGGGGUUGGAAAGUUUCGGCGGUUGGGGAUGGACUCGCGGCUUAUCAGCUUGUUGGUGGGGUAGUGGCUUACCAAGGCUUUGACGGGAAGCCGGCCUGAGAGGGUGACCGGCCACAUUGGGACUGAGAUACGGCCCAGACUCCUACGGGAGGCAGCAGUGGGGAAUAUUGCACAAUGGGCGGAAGCCUGAUGCAGCAACGCCGCGUGCGGGAUGACGGCCUUCGGGUUGUAAACCGCUUUCGCCUGUGACGAAGCGUGAGUGACGGUAAUGGGUAAAGGAGCACCGGCUAACUACGUG
rnacentral:rRNA from 1 species